rnacentral:rRNA from 1 species
AGGGUUCGAUUCUGGCUCAGGAUGAACGCUAGCGACAGGCUUAACACAUGCAAGUCGAGGGGCAGCAUAAAAGUAGCAAUACUUGGUGGCGACCGGCGCACGGGUGAGUAACGCGUAUGCAACCUACCUAUCAGAGGGGAAUAACCCGGCGAAAGUCGGACUAAUACCGCAUAAAACAGGGGCACCGCAUGGUGAUAUUUGUUAAAGAAAUUCGCUGAUAGAUGGGCAUGCGUUCCAUUAGGUAGUUGGUGAGGUAACGGCUCACCAAGCCGACGAUGGAUAGGGGAACUGAGAGGUUGGUCCCCCACACUGGUACUGAGACACGGACCAGACUCCUACGGGAGGCAGCAGUGAGGAAUAUUGGUCAAUGGGCGGGAGCCUGAACCAGCCAAGUCGCGUGAAGGAAGAAGGAUCUAUGGUUCGUAAACUUCUUUUGCAGGGGAAUAAAGUGCAGGACGUGUCCUGUUUUGUAUGUACCCUGAGAAUAAGGAUCGGCUAACUCCGUGCCAGCAGCCGC